rnacentral:lncRNA from 15 species
GACGUGGCAUAUUUGCCCUAUCUUCAUUCUCCAAAGGAGAUUUUGUACUGGAAUACAGAGGAGACAUGAUAGAUGAUGCAGAAUCCCAAAGGAGAAGACGCAUUUACCACCCAUCAUGUGUUGCAUUCAUGUUCUCAUUCAAGUGGAGAGGGAGAACAUGGUGGUAAGAUUUUAAAUUACACCUAAACUAUACUCCUUAUGCUAAACCAUAAUAAUCUCCUUACACUUUGCUCAUAGUUAAAAUGAAGGCACUGAUUUUGUUGUAUACAUUGUGUGACACAUAGUAUGUAGGGUCUGUCAUCCUGCGAUGUAAUUGAACUGUACAAAGGUUUGACAUAUAUCUUGAGUAAGAAUAACUGAAAGAGAUGAUUGUGUAAUAUUGUUUUCCCCUUUUUCUUGUUGUCCUGAAGUAUUGAUGCUUCGCAAGAAGAUGGAUCAUUUGGACGGCUUGUCAAUGAUGAGCACAUACGUCCGAACUGUAGGAUGAAAAGGAUUGACGUGGAUAGGAAACCACACUUAUGUUUGUUUGCCUUAAAUGAUAUCCAACAUGGAGAGGAAAUUACAUAUGACUACGGAGGUGAAGACUGCCCACAGAGAAUGCAAAUGACCAUGAAUGCAGCUGAUGUCAUCAUUCCUGUGGACAGCUCCCACCCUGCUGACUUGUUAGAGACUCGGAUGGAUGAAACUGCCCAAGACACUAAUCAACAGAUGACCAUGAAUGCGGCUGAUGGUGUCAUUUCUGGGGAAAGCUCCCACUCUGCUGUCUUGUUAGGACCACACAUGGACGAAACUGCCCAAGACACUAAUCAACAGAUGACCAUGAAUGCGGCUGAUGGUGUCAUUUCUGGGGAAAGCUCCCACUCUGCUGUCUUGUUAGGACCACACAUGGACGAAACUGCCCAAGACACUAAUCAACAGAUGACCAUGAAUGCAGCUGAUGUUGUCAUCCCUGAGGAAAGCUCCUACCCGGCUGUCUUUGUAGAGAUGCAGAUGGAUGAAGCUUUUGAUCCACCAGACUCUAAUCAGCAGAUGAAAGACACAGAUGUUGAAGAGUCAAAUGAUGAAUCUGACUCUGCAUCAGGGAGUAGUGAUGAGUACAUACCAGAUACCACUUCUGAAAGUGAAGAGAGUGAUGCGAGCCUGAAACCAAGGACCAAACCCUUUUCUCUUGAUGACGUAUUGAAUGACUCCGGUUCAAUGAGUCCCCCAGUCUGUGACACGACAACUUUAGACCAUGUGAUCUUUGACAGCAACACAACAACAUAUGAGGUCACUGAAGCAGACGGACCCUGCACAAGUCAAGACAUUACUGACAGCAUAGUUGUUCGUGCUUCCAAAAAAAGAAAUGGCAAUAGAGUGUACAACAAGAGACAUUAUUGCUUGUAUUGCAGGAAACCUUAUGCCAAGAUGGCAAGACAUCUAGAAAGUGCACACCAAGAUAAAUCAGAUGUGGCCAAAGCUCUUAGCUUUCCGAAAGGUUCCAAGGAAAGUAAAAAACAGCUGGAUUAUAUUCGCAACAGAGGCAACUAUGCUCACAAUGCUGCUGUUAUGGAGUCAGGGAAUGGAGAAUUGGUACCAUUUAAACAACCACCUAAAGAAGCAAAAGGAGGUGAUUUCAUGCACUGUGCAUACUGCCAAGGACUUUUUACAAGAAAGGUCCUGUGGCGACACAUGCGAAGUUGUAAACUCCAACCUGGAUCAGUUCGCCCCAGACCAGGAAAGAACCGUGUUCAGUCUUUGUGUACACUUACACCCAGGGCGGUGCCUUCACACAUAAGUAAACAAUUGUGGGGAGUUAUCAGUGCCAUGAAGCCUGAUCCAAUCACGGAUACAAUAAAAAAUAGACCACUGUCAUUACUUGAUGUUGGGCGNGCACCU